CACCAUUGCUGGCUUCAAGAGGGAUGAGACCAUAUGAAAGGAAUUCAGGCUAUCUCUGGAGCUGAGCACAACCCCCAGGUCACAUCCAACAAAGAAACAGGGACCUCAGUCCUAUAAACACCACCAACAGAAUGAACUUGGAAGCAGAUUUUCCCCCAGAGCAUCCAGAUAAGAACUCAGUCCACUCAACAUCUUCAGCUUUGUGAUAUUCCAGGCAUAUUGUGCUGAACUUCUGACUUACAGAACUUCAGUCCUGAAAGGAUUAUAAAAGCAAGAAAGAAACAUGGACUCUAAGAAUUAACAACAGUGUGGGAAGCCACGGAGGAGAUUUAUGACUACCCUAAAUUGGUUUGUGUUUGGAUGGUGAGUGCCUGAAAAUUGCUACUGAAUAUUUUGAUGAGAAAAUGAAUUAAGAUAAAUCUUUUUAACUUUCUGCUUUUGAUUAUCUUUUUUUUCUUAUCUUAGGAUGACUAUUUCCUGCUCUUUAUUACUAGAAAUUGGCAGCAACAUCUCAGAUUGGAUAAUGGUACUGGUGGAAUAAUUACCAGAAAGAAAAAAACAUCCCCACUAAAGUGAUGAAAACAUGUACAGAUUGUCCAACCUUUUGCUUUUGUACCACUUCCCCUUCCAGAUGUCAGGGUUGUGAUUUAUUUCUCCCUAAGAGUUUAAAAAUAAAACUCUCAUCAUAAAAUUUGCCUGAUACUGAUGAAAAAUAAGAUGUAGUAAUUUAGGCUUUCAG
rnacentral:lncRNA from 1 species